rnacentral:rRNA from 1 species
AUUGAACGCUGGCGGUAUGCCUUACACAUGCAAGUCGAACGGCAGCACGGGUGCUUGCACCUGGUGGCGAGUGGCGAACGGGUGAGUAAUACAUCGGAACAUGUCCUGUAGUGGGGGAUAGCCCGGCGAAAGCCGGAUUAAUACCGCAUACGAUCUACGGAUGAAAGCGGGGGACCUUCGGGCCUCGCGCUGUAGGGUUGGCCGAUGGCUGAUUAGCUAGUUGGUGGGGUAAAGGCCUACCAAGGCGACGAUCAGUAGCUGGUCUGAGAGGACGACCAGCCACACUGGGACUGAGACACGGCCCAGACUCCUACGGGAGGCAGCAGUGGGGAAUUUUGGACAAUGGGCGAAAGCCUGAUCCAGCAAUGCCGCGUGUGUGAAGAAGGCCUUCGGGUUGUAAAGCACUUUUGUCCGGAAAGAAAUCCUUGGCUCUAAUACAGUCGGGGGAUGACGGUACCGGAAGAAUAAGCACCGGCUAACUACGUG